rnacentral:rRNA from 1 species
UACGUAGGGUGCAAGCGUUGUCCGGAAUUAUUGGGCGUAAAGAGCUCGUAGGCGGUCUGUCGCGUCGGCUGUGAAAACCCGGAGCUCAACUCCGGGCCUGCAGUCGAUACGGGCAAACUGGAGUACUGCAGGGGAGACUGGAAUUCCUGGUGUAGCGGUGAAAUGCGCAGAUAUCAGGAGGAACACCGGUGGCGAAGGCGGGUCUCUGGGCAGUGGCUGACGCUGAGGCGCGACAGCGUGGGGAGCAAACAGG